AGUACAAAGGAGAAGACAUUUUGAUACCCUGAAUUCCACUGAUUCCGGCGGAUUUACCAUUCGAUUUCAAACGUUUGCAGUUCCCUAUGCGCCUUGCCUUCGCUAUGAGAAUUAAUAAGGCGCAAGGACAGUCUCUACAAAUGUGCGGUAUUAAUUUAGAAUACCCAAUUUUUUCUCAUGGACAAUUGUAUGUAGCUUGCUCACGAGUUGGCAAACCAUCGUCAUUAUUCACGCGAAAGAUGAAAAAACCAAAAACGUUGUCUACCAAAAAGUGUUACAAUAAAGUUCGAAUGAAAUUGUAUCAAAGAAUUUGCUUUGUUUCGUAUUCAUUUUAUUCUCUUUCAGCAAAUCAUUGAAUUUAUCGUCUAGCGAAGCGGGCGAGGGUACGCUAGUAAAUUAUAUUCAGUAACAAUACAAUGAGGAGCUAAGCUAAAUCACAUUGCAGUAAGUUUUACGAUUUGCUGAAAAAACUUAAUAUUUCGAGAAUGUUUGUUUUCCGACUUAUUAUUCGUUUCUCCCAAACGUCUGAAGUGACAGAGAGAAAAAGAAGUGGUCGUCCUCGCAUGGUUCGAUCCAGUGCCGUCAUAAAUGGCAUACGAGAAGGAAUUCGCAGAAAUCCUCUUAGAAAGCAGAAAAUCAUGUCCAGGGAAAUGAAUGUAUCGGCCAGAUCCAUGCUAAGAUUAAUAUCUACAUGAAAACUUUCCGUCGCUCAACAGGUCAUCUUUUGACAACGCGCUUGAAGAAAAUCGGAUGCAAGCAGCUUCUUCGAUGGCACGCGAUCAACGGCCAUGAAAAUAUUUUUUUCACAGAUGAGAAAAUGUUUACUAUUGCCGAAGUUUUUAAUAAGCAAAACGACAAGGGUUCAGCGUGGCCACCAUUCAGCCUGCGUAAUGGUUUGAUGGGAAGCGUAUUGUAAAGGCGUUACAUCUCUUCAUUUCUGCGAAGAAGGGGUUAAGAUCGGGGCAAAAGGUCUUAGCAGCACAACUCCGCUUCAGCCCAUAAGGCAAAAACCACCCAGCAGAAGCUAAAAAACAGCUGCAGAAGAUUGGCCGUCUCCAGAUUUCGAACAGUUGUCGUCAAAUUAGAGAACAUGACCGAAAUUUGAAAAGUCGCAAACAAUCUUUGGUUCAAGCAGCGACGUCAAUAUCCAUGUAAAUCGUGCGUGCUGCAAUAGCUGACUGGCCUAAUCGUUUGAAGGCUUAUGUAAGGCAAAUGGUGGCCACUUCGAAUGAAACUUUUAACGAACUUAACUUGCAACAGAACUUGACGUGCAACGCCACAUGUGAAAAUUAUAAAUCUUUCAAUGAGAGAAUCCAGCAAAUCUUUGUCAGUAUGCCAGGAUUGGAUAUCUAUUAUUACACUGGUCGACAAAAAAUGAUUACUUUUCUGAUUCAAGUAUCGGACCCGGCCUAUCUUAUAGAUUUUUCAUCGCUGAAUACGAAUCUGACCUUAAAAAGUUUCCAUCACGUCAAGAUUUUGAAAAAAAUUAGUUCAAAAAGUCAAAAAAACGUGUUUUUGACCAUUUUUGACCAAAUGUAGUGGAUGAAGCUGAGGUGAUGGAAGCUUCUACCUAGCCUUAAGCUGAAGCCUGAACCUUCAGUCAUAAGAUCCAAAUCGAAAAUACCCUGAAUCAAUUGUAAAUUUUGAUGUAGCACAAUUUUUUUAACUGCUCGCGCACGAUUUUCAUAGGUGCAGCCAUGCAGGCUAGUUAGCCUUAUCAUAGUGGUGCGCUGACUUGUACCUUUUACCUAUCAUGUUUUAGUUAGUUAAAAUUUCUUUCAAUGUUUGGUUUUAUGAUGCGCUGAAGACAAAUAUGACAUCAUAAUUUAAAAAGGCAAAACCAAUAUGGUGAUCUAAAUUACUUUUUACUUCACGAACAACUAUUGAAAGAUGAAUUUAUAUAGUUAUAUUAGACUAAUUUUUGCCAGUAGUAAUAAAGUUUUAUAAUCUGACAUUAGCUGGUGAACCAAUAUUUUAGUGCAUAAUAAAUUUAUUAAAUUCACGACCCCAGAAUGUGCCACGAGGAGGCUGUCAGUAUUUUACACUCCACACUUUCAAUUUUGAAAUUACAACUUCCGAAUCGUGCUAAGCAAACCCAAUAACUAAAAACAUGAUAGGUAAAAGGUACAAGUCAGCGCACCACUAUGAUAAGGCUAACUAGCCUGCAUGGCUGCACCUAUGAAAAUCGUGCGCGAGCAGUUAAAAAAAUUGUGCUACAUCAAAAUUUACAAUUGAUUCAGGGUAUUUUCGAUUUGGAUCUUAUAACUGAAGGUUCAGGCUUCAGUUUAAGGCUAGGUAGAAGCUUCCAUCACCUCAGCUUCAUCCACUACAUUUGGUCAAAAAUGGUCAAAAACACGUUUUUUUUGACUUUUUGAACUAAUUUUUUUCAAAAUCUUGACGUGAUGGAAACUUUUUAAGGUCAGAUUCGUAUUCAGCGAUGAAAAAUCUAUAAGAUAGGCCGGGUCCGAUGCUUGAAUCAUUUUCAGUGUCGACCUGUGUUAUCGACACACCUCUGAAGUCUGAGACAUAUAAGUUUUGUGGUUAUAAAAACAAUAUCUAAAAAAAGUUUGUCAUAAUUGUUUUAUUGAAAUAGUAUAAUU